AUUUUAAAAAUCAUCUUUAUAAUUGGAAUGAUACAGAGAAGAUUAGCAUGGCCCCUGCAGAAGGAUGACAUGCAAAUUCAUGAAGCAUUCCAUUUUUUA
rnacentral:snRNA from 1 species